rnacentral:rRNA from 1 species
GAUGAACGCUAGCGGCAGGCCUAACACAUGCAAGUCGAGGGAGAAGCCUUUCGGGGCAGAAACCGGCGCACGGGUGCGUAACGCGUAUGCAACCUACCUUUCACAGGGGGAUAGCCCGAAGAAAUUUGGAUUAAUACCCCAUAAUAUUGUUGGAUGGCAUCAUCUGAUAAUUAAAACUGCGGUGGUGAAAGAUGGGCAUGCGUCCUAUUAGCUAGUUGGAGUGGUAACGGCACCCCAAGGCUACGAUAGGUAGGGGUCCUGAGAGGGAGAUCCCCCACACGGGUACUGGGACAGGGACCAGACUCCUACGGGAGGCAGCAGUGAGGAAUAUUGGUCAAUGGUCGGAAGACUGAACCAGCCAUGCCGCGUGCAGGAAGAAUGCCUUAUGGGUUGUAAACUGCUUUUAUAUGGGAAGAAUAAGGUGUACGUGUACAUUGAUGACGGUACCAUAUGAAUAAGCAUCGGCUAACUCCGUG